UAUAAAACAAAUAUAAUUUACUGAAAAGCAACGGCAUAGGCACGAGAAACGCUGUGAACUUAGGAGGGUGAAGACGCCCAGCAGUGAGCUUGCAAACUUACAUCACGGUCUGAUCUCACAUAUGUUUCACGUCCUACAUGGCUCUUAUAUCACAAGCAUCUCUCCUAAAAUGCUCCGCUAUAAACAGUGUGAUACGUACAUAUGUUGAUUAAGGUAAUUUAUCUCACGCCAACACGCUUUGCGCGGUCAACGGAUAAAGUCGAAGAGAAAUGGAUGUUACCGUGAGCUACACAGUGUUUAAGGUACUUGACAAGUACGAAGGAUGGUGAGACGUUAAACAUGACUGCUGCAGUUCUGCUGUUGCCAUACACGCUUAAAAACGAGAUCACAGGAUGACAGUCUCCUACCAAAUGUGGAAGAGGCACCCCACGUGAAAGGCAUAUCAGAUGAUCGUGAGAGGAGAUCCAUUUUCUACAGCACAAAUCUGUAUUGUGGGAGAAAUGAAAACCCUCCGGAAGUCCAGGACAUGAUGCAUGUCACGUUUGUAAUGUUUGCAGUAUACUGUAACCUAUACUGUAAAAAAUUCCCACCAGAGCAGCGUCUCUGUUAAACUGUCUUCCCCCUUGAAAAGGGAAAACAUGACU